ensembl:lncRNA
AUGAUAAGUAUGGAAUUCAGAGAUUUUUUUUCUUCCAUUUUUUUCUAUAAAGAAAUUCAAGACCAAAGAAUUUUAAUGAUGCGUGGAAAGUUAGUGCCUUCUUUAGGGAAGGGAUAUCUGUUUUCUCCAUCAUCAAAUCUCCAGUACCCAGCAAAUUACAUAGAACAUGAAGCUGCCAGUGCUGGUCCCACAAGUAGCAACCCAGAUCCUGAAGGCAUCUUUCCUGGAAGUUUUACUAAAAGAUGAUCCAAACACCUAACUAUACUGAUUUAAAACAGCACCACCAAUAACAACAACAAACCUAAGGCCCAGAGGUCAGAACUAUUACAAAUAUAAUGUCAUAUCCAUAAACUCCUAAAUCUUAAUGCCUCAUGCUGCACUUAUAUAAUCAGUGGGGUGGGGGGAAAGGGGAAAAAUGAUGAAGAGAAAAAACAGUACACAGAUAUUCAACUCUGAGUUUUCUGGGUUAAAGAUGAGAAAUAAACAUUAAUUGAAAACUAUGCGCGCAUCAUAAGGAAGGGUUUAUAAUUUUGACAUAUGGAGGAGGCAAAAGUAGGUAAAGAGUGAGUUGGAAAACUGAGACCAAAAUGGACAUUAUACUGAAGUGCUAUAUUUCACUGUCCGACAUUUGCAGGUGCUUAGUAAAUAUUUAUUUUUUCUGGUCAACUGCUUUCCUCAUUUUCUUCCUUUAUAAUCCAAGAGACUUUUAUAAUAUUCUCUAGGGAAAGUGGAGCGAACUCAGACUGAGUAUAGAUAAGCCCACAUUUAUAGCCUACUUCUUAGUGUUUCUAAAUCUCAUAUCCUUGGGUUUAAACAUAAUAUGUAUUUUAUGAAGUUGUUGAAUAAAGCUAAUGCAUGAAAAGAAAUUGGCACAUAAAAGGCAAUGAGGAAAGGUUGCUGUUUCAUAGUAGGAGGAGGAAGAAGGGGAGGAACAAGAGGAAUAAUGGUAGUAGAUGGGCUCAGAUGAAAAUUUCUUAGAGCAGCAGAGUGUUAACACCUACAGAUUUGAGCAUAAAGAGUCACGGUGAAGUGAUGGAAAGGAUUCAAGAAUAAGAAGUGAAUUUGUACUAGAUAUCACCUUAUUACCUUCACUGUCCUAAAACUCUGUAAUCUUACAUAUGUGAAUAUGUUGAAGUCAAUCAAUCAGGAAAUUAUUUUCAUUUUCAAAAUUAAUCAGGGCCAGUUGUGUCACUGGUCUAGAAUCUCACAGUUAAUUUUUAAAAGUAAUACUUCAAAAAGUUAACUAAGCCAGAGGUGGUGGCUUAUGCCCGUAAUCUCGGCACUUUGGGAGGUGAGGCGGGUAGAUUGCUGGAGCUCAGGAGUUUGAGACCACCCUGGGCAACAUGGCAAAAUUCCGUAUCUACAAAAAAUACAGAAAUUAGCCAGGCAUAGUAAUGGUGUGCACCGGUAGUCCCAGCUACUUGGGAGGUAUUGGUGGGAGGAUGGCUUGAGCUCAGGAGGUGGAAGUUGCAGUAAGCCAGGAUCAAGCGACUACACUCCCGCCCGGGUGACAGCUAGAACCUGUCUCAAAAAAAAAAAAAAAAAACAACUAAAAAUGGAUCAUAGACAUAAAUGUAAAAUACUCUAUAAAACUCCUAGAGGUUAGCAUAGGAAAAAGCCUAGAUGACCUUAGAUAGGGUGGUGACUUUUUAGAUACAACACAAAAGACACAACCCAUGAAAGAAAUAAUUGAUAAGCUUGACUUCAUUAAAAUUAA